UACGUAGGGUGCAAGCGUUAAUCGGAAUUACUGGGCGUAAAGCGUGUGCAGGCGGUCUGUUAAGACAGGUGUGAAAUCCCCGGGCUUAACCUGGGAAUUGCGCUUGUUACUGGCAGACUAGAGUGCGUCAGAGGGAGGUGGAAUUCCACGUGUAGCAGUGAAAUGCGUAGAGAUGUGGAGGAACACCGAUGGCGAAGGCAGCCUCCUGGGAUGACACUGACGCUCAUACACGAAAGCGUGGGGAGCAAACAGG
rnacentral:rRNA from 1 species